rnacentral:rRNA from 1 species
UACGUAGGGGGCAAGCGUUGUCCGGAAUCAUUGGGCGUAAAGAGCGCGUAGGCGGUCCGGCAAGUCGGGUGUGAAAACUGGGGGCUCAACCCUCAGAGGCCGACCGAUACUGUCGGGCUAGAGUCCGGAAGAGGCGAGUGGAAUUCCUGGUGUAGCGGUGAAAUGCGCAGAUAUCAGGAGGAGCACCAAUGGCGAAGGCAGCUCGCUGGGAUGCUACUGACGCUGAGGCGCGAAAGCGUGGGGAGCAAACAGG